rnacentral:sRNA from 1 species
UUUUGGUGGUGAAGAGGGCGCUGGAGCGCGUUGAUGGGGUUAAUGGUGGUGACUGUGGUGGUGGGGAUGGUAGUAUCGACGUUGUAGGGGAGGUGGUGGAAAUACUGUGAUCGAUCGAUCAACUCGUGUCUGUGUCGUUGUGUGAAGGAAUAAAGUGGUUUGAUUGAUAUGUGGUGGUGGCAUGUGAAGGACGAAGAGGUUCGCUCUCAUUUCCUUACAAUCUCCGCAUCCAACAGGACUGCCCCGCCCUAGUCACCGAAGAUUUCGUUUGUUUGGGAGAUGAGCAAGUAUAUGGGGAUAUCGACGUCUGCAGUUAUGCUUCCGAUGACUCUAUAUGCAGUGGUGUAGGGUGGCAUCGGCACGCCCCAAGAUGCCUAAUCUGAUGCCGUGCACGUGGGUAAGAAACAUGGCCAUGGCAGUUGCUGGAUCCUUUGUGCUAUGUUCUGUUUUUUUUUUUUUUUUUUUUUUUUAAGGGAGGGGAGGGGCUUUGGCUUUGCAUUUGACUAAUUUUGUCACCGUUGGUAUUUCAAUGUCUGGGCUAAAUAUCUUUUCGCAUCUCUGCUAUUUAUGUUCAGAUCUUCCUUCUUUGUUUGUCUUUUCCUUUCCUUAAUUGAUUCUUCAAGUGCUGAA